UUGAACGCUGGCGGCAUGCUUUACACAUGCAAGUCGAACGGUAACAGGCCGCAAGGUGCUGACGAGUGGCGAACGGGUGAGUAAUGUAUCGGAACGUGCCCAGUCGUGGGGGAUAACGCAGCGAAAGCUGUGCUAAUACCGCAUACGAUCUAUGGAUGAAAGCGGGGGACCGUAAGGCCUCGCGCGAUUGGAGCGGCCGAUAUCAGAUUAGGUAGUUGGUGGGGUAAAGGCCUACCAAGCCGACGAUCUGUAGCUGGUCUGAGAGGACGACCAGCCACACUGGGACUGAGACACGGCCCAGACUCCUACGGGAGGCAGCAGUGGGGAAUUUUGGACAAUGGGCGCAAGCCUGAUCCAGCAAUGCCGCGUGCAGGACGAAGGCCUUCGGGUUGUAAACUGCUUUUGUACGGAGCGAAAAGGCUCUCUCUAAUACAGGGGGUUCAUGACGGUACCGUAAGAAUA
rnacentral:rRNA from 1 species